AUUGAACGCUGGCGGCAGGCCUAACACAUGCAAGUCGAGCGGAUGACGGGAGCUUGCUCCUUGAUUCAGCGGCGGACGGGUGAGUAAUGCCUAGGAAUCUGCCUGGUAGUGGGGGACAACGUUUCGAAAGGAACGCUAAUACCGCAUACGUCCGACGGGAGAGAGCAGGGGACCUUCGUGCCUUGCGCUAUCAGAUGAGCAUAGGUCGGAUUAGCUAGUUGGUGGGGUAAUGGCUCACCAAGGAGACGAUCCGUAACUGGUCUGAGAGGAUGAUAAAGCACAAUAGAACUGAGUCACGGUCCAGACUCCUAAGGGAGGAAGCAGUGGGGAAUAUUGGACAAGGGGCAAAAGCCUAAUCAAACCAUGCCGCGUGUGUGAAGAAGGUCUUCGGGUUGUAAAGCAAUUUAAGUCGGGAGGAAGGAAAGUAAGUUAAUACCUUGCUGUUUUGAAGUUACCGACAGAAUAAGCACCGGCUAACUCUGUGCCAGCAGACGCCGUAA
rnacentral:rRNA from 1 species